rnacentral:rRNA from 1 species
AUUGAACGCUGGCGGCAGGCCUAACACAUGCAAGUCGAACGAGUGGCGGACGGGUGAGCAAUGACUGGGAACCUGCCUGAUGGAGGGGGACAACUACUGGAAACGGUAGCUAAUAACGAAUACAAUCGGAUGUGCCCAGAUGGGAUGAGCUAGUAGGUGGGGUAAAGGCUAACCUAGGAGACGAUCCCUAGCUGGUCUGAGAGGCGAACCAGACAAACGGGAACUGAGAAACGGCCCAGACUACUACGGGGGGCGGCAGGGGGGAAUAUUGGACAAUGGGCGCAAGACGGAGGCAGCCAUGCCGCGUGUAUGAGGAAGGCCUUCGGGUUGUAAAGUACGUUCAGCGGGGAGGCGUUACCCGCAGAAGAAGCACCGGCUAACUCCGUGCCAGCAGCCGCGGUAAUAC